UUAGAGUUUGAUCCUGGCUCAGAACGAACGCUGGCGGCGUGGAUAAGACAUGCAAGUCGAACGAGAGAAUUGCUAGCUUGCUAAUAAUUCUCUAGUGGCGCACGGGUGAGUAACACGUGAGUAACCUGCCCCCGAGAGCGGGAUAGCCCUGGGAAACUGGGAUUAAUACCGCAUAGUAUCGAAAGAUUAAAGCAGCAAUGCGCUUGGGGAUGGGCUCGCGGCCUAUUAGUUAGUUGGUGAGGUAACGGCUCACCAAGGCGAUGACGGGUAGCCGGUCUGAGAGGAUGUCCGGCCACACUGGAACUGAGACACGGUCCAGACACCUACGGGUGGCAGCAGUCGAGAAUCAUUCACAAUGGGGGAAACCCUGAUGGUGUGACGCCGCGUGGGGGAAUGAAGGUCUUCGGAUUGUAAACCCCUGUCAUGUGGGAGCAAAUUAAAAAGAUAGUACCACAAGAGGAAGAGACGGCUAACUCUGUGCCAGCAGCCGCGGUAAUACAGAGGUCUCAAGCGUUGUUCGGAAUCACUGGGCGUAAAGCGUGCGUAGGCUGUUUCGUAAGUCGUGUGUGAAAGGCGCGGGCUCAACCCGCGGACGGCACAUGAUACUGCGAGACUAGAGUAAUGGAGGGGGAACCGGAAUUCUCGGUGUAGCAGUGAAAUGCGUAGAUAUCGAGAGGAACACUCGUGGCGAAGGCGGGUUCCUGGACAUUAACUGACGCUGAGGCACGAAGGCCAGGGGAGCGAAAGGGAUUAGAUACUUCUGUAGUCCUGGCAGUAAACGGUGCACGCUUGGUGUGCGGGGAAUCGACCCCCUGCGUGCCGGAGCUAACGCGUUAAGCGUGCCGCCUGGGGAGUACGGUCGCAAGAUUAAAACUCAAAGAAAUUGACGGGGACCCGCACAAGCGGUGGAGUAUGUGGCUUAAUUCGAUGCAACGCGAAGAACCUUACCUGGGCUUGACAUGUAAUGAACAACAUGUGAAAGCAUGCGACUCUUCGGAGGCGUUACACAGGUGCUGCAUGGCCGUCGUCAGCUCGUGUCGUGAGAUGUUUGGUUAAGUCCAGCAACGAGCGCAACCCCUGUUGCCAGUUACCAGCACGUGAAGGUGGGGACUCUGGCGAGACUGCCCAGAUUAACUGGGAGGAAGGUGGGGACGACGUCAGGUCAGUAUGGCCCUUAUGCCCAGGGCUGCACACGUACUACAAUGCCCAGUACAGAGGGGGCCGAAGCCGCGAGGCGGAGGAAAUCCUGAAAACUGGGCCCAGUUCGGACUGUAGGCUGCAACCCGCCUACACGAAGCCGGAAUCGCUAGUAAUGGCGCAUCAGCUACGGCGCCGUGAAUACGUUCCCGGGUCUUGCACACACCGCCCGUCA
rnacentral:rRNA from 1 species